AUUGAACGCUGGCGGCAGGCUUAACACAUGCAAGUCGAGCGGAGAGAGGUAGCUUGCUACUGAUCUUAGCGGCGGACGGGUGAGUAAUGCUUAGGAAUCUGCCUAUUAGUGGGGGACAACAUUUCGAAAGGAAUGCUAAUACCGCAUACGUCCUACGGGAGAAAGCAGGGGAUCUUCGGACCUUGCGCUAAUAGAUGAGCCUAAGUCGGAUUAGCUAGUUGGUGGGGUAAAGGCCUACCAAGGCGACGAUCUGUAGCGGGUCUGAGAGGAUGAUCCGCCAAACUGGGACUGAGACACGGCCCAGACUCCUACGGGAGGCAGCAGUGGGGAAUAUUGGACAAUGGGCGGAAGCCUGAUCCAGCCAUGCCGCGUGUGUGAAGAAGGCCUUAUGGUUGUAAAGCACUUUAAGCGAGGAGGAGGCUACUUUAGUUAAUACCUAGAGAUAGUGGACGUUACUCGCAGAAUAAGCACCGGCUAACUCUGUGCCAGCAGCCGCGGUAACAC
rnacentral:rRNA from 1 species